rnacentral:rRNA from 1 species
CUACGGGUGGCAGCAGUGGGGAAUAUUGCACAAUGGGGGAAACCCUGAUGCAGCAACGCCGCGUGGAGGAUGACACAUUUCGGUGCGUAAACUCCUUUUAUAUAGGAAGAUAAUGACGGUACUAUAUGAAUAAGCGCCGUCUAACUCCGUGCCAGCAGCCGCGGUAAUACGGAGGGCGCAAGCGUUACUCGGAAUCACUGGGCGUAAAGAGCGUGUAGGCGGGUAGUUAAGUCAGAAGUGAAAUCCUAUGGCUCAACCAUAGAACUGCUUUUGAAACUGAUUACCUAGAAUAUGGGAGAGGUAGAUGGAAUUUCUGGUGUAGGGGCAAAAUCCGUAGAGAUCAGAAGGAAUACCGAUUGCGAAGGCGAUCUACUGGAACAUUAUUGACGCUGAGACGCGAAAGCGUGGGGAGCAAACAGGAUUAGAUACCCUAUAGUC